AGUAGAAUUGCCAUAAGCUGACACGAAGCGCAGUUCUAUUGUUGUACGGUCGGUUUUUCCAGAUAUAGAACAACGGAGCGCUGCGUAAAGACGCAUUUUUUUAGUUUCAUUUAAUGAAAAUGUGGCUGACUCCUUUUUGCAUUUUAAUGCCCCUCUGUGAAAAUACAUCUUCAAUCCCAAUCACUCAGAAUGACUGACACGGGAGGUCUCAACGUGGAUUCCACUCACAUUUUUACCAAUUUUUUCCCAGUAACCAGGAGGAGGGAUGUUGUCAAAUGUCACAUCCAGUGGAAGAAUAUGUCCACAAAGGUACUCAGGAAUGUACUGCUCGCGGUAUGUAAAUGCUAUUUUUGCACAGAGGCACAUUUACAUAAAUUCAGUACUUGGCAGUGACAGCAAGGCUCUGAAGUUUUUGUUUUGGUGCAUAAUCUGGAGGCUCGGAGCGCUUAACCUAAACUCAUAAUGCCUCGAAUAAUGAGGGAGGAAUUGGAGAGAUUUGGAGAUGGUGAAGGCUCACAAACAUGAUGAGGCCUCGUCGGGUAAAACACAGCUUGACUGAUAUCUCCACCAGACGCUGCGAGAGUGCCCUCUUGGAUGCCUCUAGGGUAGAUACACGAUAAAGUACCCUCUACUGUGCUCUAGUGCCCGUUUGUGCGCUGGUGUCCGGCUGCCUACAGCUGGUGCAUUUUCCCUUUUCUUCCAGCCCCCUCAGACAUCCUGAGUCCACCACCGUGAGAUCAGAUCACCUGACCAGUGCAAACUACUGUGAUCUCUUCACAUGUCAGUAACCAUACAGGUUGAACAUCUUCACCUGCUUUUUGCUGGUUCUGUAUGAAACAGCAUUUUGAUAUGCUGGUCUACAAAUACUGACUGCCAAAGUACAGAUCAACAAUAGUUUUCUGUGUUUUAAAAAUUGACACUUAAUCAAUUCUGGCCUUUUUCUUGUCUUCUACAUGUCGUUUUCUCCCUUUUCUGUCACCAUCUGCUGAUUGGUGCUGUAUUUUCUGUUUAUUUUAUUCUUUUUGUUCCUUUUCCUUAUAUUCUAAUAUACUAUAUGAAAUACACUUUCUUGAGAGGAGGGGAGGUCCAUUAUAAAGGCCUGUGGCUUUUUGACCAAUCAAGACAUGUGUUUUAUUUCUGUUGUUGUUAAAAGGUGCAAUAUGUAAGAAUUGGCCACCUCAUAUCAAUCCCAUUGAUAAGGACAUAGCUGAAUGAAUGCACUUUCCUGGUCAUAAACAUUCAUUCACAUCAUCAUAUCAUGGUUGUGACGUUUGGACUCUGUCAUGUCACGCCACACUGAAAAAACUGUUCUGCUUCAACUAAAUCCAAAGAAAAACUGUAAUAAUCUGAUGUGGCCCUGGUGGGCCCUCUGUAGGCAGU